rnacentral:rRNA from 1 species
AUUGAACGCUGGCGGCAGGCCUAACACAUGCAAGUCGAACGGUAACAGGAAGAAGCUUGCUUCUUUGCUGACGAGUGGCGGACGGGUGAGUAAUGUCUGGGAAACUGCCUGAUGGAGGGGGAUAACUACUGGAAACGGUAGCUAAUACCGCAUAACGUCGCAAGACCAAAGAGGGGGACCUUCGGGCCUCUUGCCUUCGGAUGUGCCCAGAUGGGAUUAGCUAGUAGGUGGGGUAACGGCUCACCUAGGCGACGAUCCCUAGCUGGUCUGAGAGGAUGACCAGCCACACUGGAACUGAGACACGGUCCAGACUCCUACGGGAGGCAGCAGUGGGGAAUAUUGCACAAUGGGCGCAAGCCUGAUGCAGCCAUGCCGCGUGUAUGAAGAAGGCCUUCGGGUUGUAAAGUACUUUCAGCGGGGAGGAAGGGAGUAAAGUUAAUACCUUUGCUCAUUGACGUUACCCGCAGAAGAAGCACCGGCUAACUCCGUG